AGAGUUUGAUCCCGGCUCAGGACGAACGCUGGCGGCACGCUUAACACAUGCAAGUCGAACGAGAGAAGAGGAGCUUGCUUUUCUGAUCUAGUGGCGGACGGGUGAGUAACACGUGAGCAAUCUGCCUUUCAGAGGGGGAUACCGAUUGGAAACGAUCGUUAAUACCGCAUAACAUAAUUGAACCGCAUGAUUUGAUUAUCAAAGAUUUAUCGCUGAAAGAUGAGCUCGCGUCUGAUUAGCUAGUUGGUAAGGUAACGGCUUACCAAGGCGACGAUCAGUAGCCGGACUGAGAGGUUGAUCGGCCACAUUGGGACUGAGACACGGCCCAGACUCCUACGGGAGGCAGCAGUGGGGAAUAUUGCACAAUGGAGGAAACUCUGAUGCAGCGAUGCCGCGUGAGGGAAGAAGGUUUUAGGAUUGUAAACCUCUGUCUUCAGGGACGAAAAAAGACGGUACCUGAGGAGGAAGCUCCGGCUAACUACGUGCCAGCAGCCGCGGUAAUACGUAGGGAGCGAGCGUUGUCCGGAAUUACUGGGUGUAAAGGGAGCGUAGGCGGGAUCGCAAGUCAGAUGUGAAAACUAUGGGCUUAACCCAUAAACUGCAUCUGAAACUGUGGUUCUUGAGUGAAGUAGAGGUAAGCGGAAUUCCUAGUGUAGCGGUGAAAUGCGUAGAUAUUAGGAGGAACAUCAGUGGCGAAGGCGGCUUACUGGGCUUUAACUGACGCUGAGGCUCGAAAGCGUGGGGAGCAAACAGGAUUAGAUACCCUGGUAGUCCACGCCGUAAACGAUGAUUACUAGGUGUGGGGGGACUGACCCCUUCCGUGCCGCAGCAAACGCAGUAAGUAAUCCACCUGGGGAGUACGACCGCAAGGUUGAAACUCAAAGGAAUUGACGGGGGCCCGCACAAGCAGUGGAGUAUGUGGAUUAAUUCGAAGCAACGCGAAGAACCUUACCAGGUCUUGACAUCGUAUGCAUAGCUCAGAGAUGAGUGAAAUCUCUUCGGAGACAUAUAGACAGGUGGUGCAUGGUUGUCGUCAGCUCGUGUCGUGAGAUGUUGGGUUAAGUCCCGCAACGAGCGCAACCCUUACUGUUAGUUGCUACGCAAGAGCACUCUAGCAGGACUGCCGUUGACAAAACGGAGGAAGGUGGGGAUGACGUCAAAUCAUCAUGCCCCUUAUGACCUGGGCCUCACACGUACUACAAUGGCUGUCAACAGAGGGAAGCAAAGCCGCGAGGUGGAGCGAACCCCUAAAAGCAGUCUUAGUUCGGAUUGUAGGCUGCAACCCGCCUACAUGAAGUCGGAAUUGCUAGUAAUCGCAGAUCAGCAUGCUGCGGUGAAUACGUUCCCGGGCCUUGUACACACCGCCCGUCACGCCAUGGGAGUCGGUAACACCCGAAGCCUGUAGUCUAACCGCAAGGAGGACGCAGUCGAAGGUGGGAUUGAUGACUGGGGUGAAGUCGUAACAAGGUA
rnacentral:rRNA from 1 species